UUUCCGUAGGUGAACCUGCGGAAGGAUCAUUAUUGAAAAAGACAUGACGCCCCGUUUUUUCGUAAAAUGGGUUCAAUACCCACAACCGUGUAUACCUUACCUUUUGUUGCUUUGGCAGGCCGCCUCCGGGCGUUGGCUUCGGCUGACAGCGCCUGCCAGAGGACCCAAACUCCGUGUUUAGUGAUGUCUGAGUAAUAUAUAAUAUUUUAAAACUUUCAACAACGGAUCUCUUGGUUCUG
rnacentral:misc_RNA from 1 species